rnacentral:misc_RNA from 1 species
GAUGAAGAACGCAGCGAAAUGCGAUAAGUAAUGUGAAUUGCAGAAUUCAGUGAAUCAUCGAAUCUUUGAACGCACAUUGCGCCCGCCAGUAUUCUGGCGGGCAUGCCUGUUCGAUCGUCAUUACAACCCUCAGGCCCCCGGGCCUGGCGUUGGGGAUCGGCGGAGCCCCCCGUGGGCACACGCCGUCCCCCAAAUGCAGUGGCGGUCCCGCCGCAGCUUCCAUCGCGUAGUAGCUAACACCUCGCGACUGGAGAGCGGCGCGGCCACGCCGUAAAACACCCAACUCUUCUGAAGUUGACCUCGAAUCAGGUAGGAAUACCCGCUGAACUUAAGCAUAUCAAUAAGCGGAGGA